UACGUAGGGUGCGAGCGUUGUCCGGAAUUAUUGGGCGUAAAGGGCUCGUAGGCGGUUUGUCGCGUCGGGAGUGAAAUCCACUGGCUUAACUGGUGGCUUGCUUUCGAUACGGGCAGACUAGAGGUAUGCAGGGGAGAACGGAAUUCCUGGUGUAGCGGUGAAAUGCGCAGAUAUCAGGAGGAACACCGAUGGCGAAGGCAGGUCUCUGGGCAUUAACUGACGCUGAGGAGCGAAAGCAUGGGGAGCGAACAGG
rnacentral:rRNA from 1 species